rnacentral:rRNA from 1 species
CCUACGGGAGGCAGCAGUGAGGAAUAUUGGUCAAUGGCCGGGAGGCUGAACCAGCCAAGUCGCGUGAGGGAAGAAGGUACAAUGGAUUGUAAACCUCUUUUGUCAGGGAACAAAGGUAUCCACGAGUGGCUGUUUGCGUGUACCUGAUGAAAAAGCAUCGGCUAACUCCGUGCCAGCAGCCGCGGUAAUACGGAGGAUGCGAGCGUUAUCCGGAUUUAUUGGGUUUAAAGGGUGCGCAGGUGGUUUUUUAAGUCAGCGGUAAAAGCUGUGGGCUCAACCCCAGCGAGCCGUUGAAACUGGGGGGCUUGAGUGUGUGAGAAGUAUGCGGAAUGCGUGGUGUAGCGGUGAAAUGCAUAGAUAUCACGCAGAACUCCGAUUGCGAAGGCAGCGUACC